rnacentral:lncRNA from 1 species
AUGGUCCAGUCACUAACAGUGAGUAAAACCGAAGAGAGACACUAUGCUGAGGCGUGUGCUGACCAUUUGAGUGUUGCAAACGAAUGGAAAAUCAAGGACAAGCUAACCACGCUUGGCACCGACAGUGCUUGUAACAUGGUUGCAGCCUCCAGACUACUUCCAUUUGAACACAUGCCCUGCAUGGCCCACAUUCUGCAAAGAACAAUCACGGUUUCUCUUAAUGACAGCGCAUUUGAAAGGGCUCUGGCCAAAUGUCGCAAGAUUGUUGGACAUUUUAAGCAUAGUCCAGCAAACGCUCAGGAAUUAAAGGCACAGCAAGCUGCACAUGGACAUCAAACAGAACCGCUUGUUCAGGACGUUCCAACAAGAUGGAACUCUACCCUAGAGAUGAUCAAGCGGAUCCAGAGAAACAAAUCUGGGCUGACCACCAUCCUGACUCAGCAAAAUAGCAAGGUGACCAUGUUGACUGACCAGGAGCUUGACAGACUGCAAAAGCUGGAGGAACUACUUGAACCUUGCAGAUAUGUGACCGAACUGCUGGGGGGGAGAGCGGUAUGUCUCCUGUUCCAUGGUGUUGCCAGCCUUGUGUCAUUUGUUCAGGAUUAUGGAGCCCUCACAUGAUGAACCAGUCUGUUUUGAGGUUUAAGAAGGUUUUUACGACAGACCUAGCUCAGCGGAGGGACAGCAGCAAUCUCACAUGGCUGAAGAUCGCUACAGUCCUUGAUCCCAGGUUUAAGGACCUUAAGUGCCUUUCCAAAGAUGAAAGAGAGGUGUGGGCUUCAGUACAUGACCUUCUGAUGGCAGAGACGGAUGCACACCAACCAUCUGCUCAUACAAAAGAGGAACCAUCACCAAAGAAGAGCAAGAUGUCCAUCUGCUUGCUGGGUUCUUCUGAUUCAGAUACAUAGGAAGAGGAAGACUCUAUAGAUCGCUGUCUGAAUCUGUACAAAGCACAGCCCAAAAUUGACAUAGGAGAGUGUCCACUACAGUGGUGGUUAAAGAGAGAAGGAGCACAUGCCAGGCUGGCACCUAUUGCACACAAGUACCUGUCAACCCCUGCAACCACAGUGCCUUGUGUGUCAUGUUUCGGCUGUGUAAAGGCAGGAGAAGGACCCAAACGCAAAACUCACCACGCAGGAAUUAAACUCAAAAAAGGCUGCUUUAUUGCAGAAUGGCAUGAAAACCAUAACAAAACUAAACUGAGACGUGGAUAAACUGACACAUAGGAAAACACAGCCAUGAGGGAGACUACGACACUGACAAAGAGAAAACACAGGGCUUAAAUACACAGAGGGAUAACGAGGGAAUUAGACACAGAAGGAGAGCACAGCUGGGGGUAAUCAGGCUGGAAGAGACAAGGGAAGCAAAACUAGAAUCACUCACAUGAGACACGGACCUUCAAAGUAAAACAGGAAACACUGACUGAACUCUAGACAUGCAAACUUAUCAGCAACCGAGGAGACAGAACAUAGGGACCUGAAACAUGGGACAGAAAGGCACAGUAGACACAACAUGGACAUAACGCCACAGGGAAAGAGUAAAACAAAACAGAACCUCUUAGAAAAUAAAAUAGGAAACAUAAUGAAACGCAGACAUGACUACAUGAACCUGACAACAAAACAGACAUGAAACACAUGAAGGGCAAGGGAGAAUAAACGGGUUGGAAGACAAGGGGAAUCUAAUAACAAAGAACUAUAACAAUGAACUGAAAACCUAGAGGGCUUAAACAUGAACAUAACCUAAAACUCCAAGACGCUGGGUCAAAAGACCCAGGAUCGUGACAGAGGGCCCCCCCCCCUCAAGGGCGGAUUCCAGACGCCCUAAACCAGGAAAAACAAAAUGAAAAACAACACACCCGGGUGGGCGGUGGGGGUCCAGGACGGAGGGCCUGAGACCGACCAAAGCCAGAGCAAAAGUUAAAAAAAAAACAACAACAAAAUCCCCGAAAACCCGGAGCUCACGAAAUAGUGCAAAACAAAAGUCUAUGAAAAGCACUGAAGCUCAGGAAACAGUCCAAAAGCACCACUCAGGAGGACGACCCAGAGGGUGACGGCAUAACAGUCCAUGGCUUAUUAGUUCAGGAGGCCGACCCGGAGGACGACUGCACAGGAGAUUAUACAGUUCAGGGGGUCGACCAGGGGGCCGAUGGCUCAACAGUCCAUGACUGAACAGCUCAGGGGGCCGACAGCGGAGCCAGCGGUGGCGACGUGGACAGGCAUGAAGACCGUCAGGCAAGUCGCCUGACGGCUGGCGGCCGACGGCGGCGUGGAAGCAGUUCCGGCGGCAGACCUCGAAGCCAGCGGUGGCAAUGAAGCAGGUUAGGAGGCCGGCCGCGCCGGCGAAGAAGUCCAGUCAGCGGCCUGGAAGGUGGCUGCUGACGCCAAACCAGGCAUGGACGAUGUUUAGCAGGCUGAGCCGGACGUGGACGACGCGGCGGCUUGGCAACCGCAGGACCGGGCGGCGGCGGCGGCGUGGCUGAAGCUGGACCGGGCGGCGUGGCUGAAGCUGGACCGGGCGGCGUGGCUGAAGCUGGACCGGGCGGCGUGGCUGAAGCUGGACCGGGCGGCGGCGGCGGCGUGGCUGAAGCUGGACCGGGCGGCGGCGGCGGCGUGGCUGAAGCUGGACCGGGCGGCGGCGGCGGCGUGGCUGAAGCUGGACCGGGCGGCGGCGGCGGCGUGGCUGAAGCUGGACCGGGCGGCGGCGGCGGCGUGGCUGAAGCUGGACCGGGCGGCGGCGGCGGCGUGGCUGAAGCUGGACCGGGCGGCGGCGGCGGCGUGGCUGAAGCUGGACCGGGCGGCGGCGGCGGCGUGGCUGAAGCUGGACCGGGCGGCGGCGGCGGCGUGGCUGAAGCUGGACCGGGCGGCGGCGGCGUGGCUGAAGCUGGACCGGGCGGCGGCGGCGUGGCAGCCGCAGGUGGUGGCUGGACGGGCUCCUCUGGGCCUCCAGCAGGAACAGGCGGCGGCGUGGGAGCCGCGGAGUGCUGAGCAGACUGUUGAGCGGUUGGUUGUGCAGAUGAUUGGGCUAAUGAAAGCCUGACCUGGAGACAAAACUGAAGCCUGACCUGGAGACAAAACUGAUGAUGGAACACAUGACUAAGCUAAUAACUGAGCAACAGACUGAACUAUGGAAAAAAUGAGAGGUUGUAGGGAUUGUGGUAGUGGUUGCUGACCUGACUCUGACCUAACUCUGAGCCUACAGAACACAAGGAUAGGCUCGCCUGAGCCUUCAGCGGACACAGGAAUGGGUGCAGGCACCCACCGGACAUGAGCCGCUCCCACCCGAGGAGUAGGUACGGGUGCGGAGGUAGGCUGUGGCCUGGCUGGCCUCACCCUGGGAGCCGGGACAGGUGGUAGAGAGCGGAGCUCAGGAGUAGUCACAGGAGUAGGUAGAUUUGCAAAGGCAGUUUCAGAAUAAGCUGACUGGUGAGCAGCAAAGUCCAGGGGUGAAGCCACACCCAAAACACUCACUUGAGGUGCAGGUUGAACUUGGUCUGACUCUAAAACAUGGUGAGUGUGUUUGAACAUGGCUGGCUGUGGAACACAAAAUUCAACUUGAUUCAUUAGCUCAGUGGCAUCAAGUCCAAGUCUUUUAGCCAGUUUAACUAUGGUAGGAGGCACUCUGUUACUAUUUACACCUCCCAGCUGAGGCACAGAAAAAAAAAAAAAUAACUGACUGAGAUACUGGCAGAGCAUCACGUAGAGUCUCAGAUACAGGAUCGGAAUCAUGAAGGUUCGGAGGAGCUGGUUGAAAAACUAAAGCGUUCAUAGGAGCAGCAUGACUAACCGUGGAUGAAAUGGCAGAAGGUUUUGAAUCAGAAUGUGGCAGUCACUUUUACUCACAAAAGUGGUCUGCUCAGCUGCUGUGGAGCGAUGGCGGCGUGAAUGCCGCUUUCUCCUGGAAGAGGGAGGAGACGAGUCGGCCCGCAAAUCCUCCAGCGGACUCGGCUGAAAAUCCUCCGGCUCUUCACACAGGAGUGGCUGCUCAGGGUGGACACGCACAGUAGAAACAAGGAAGUCCUGGAUUAAAGGGUGGAGCAUGCCAAAUAACCAGGGGAGUCCAGAGAUCAUCCAUUGUAAGCGGAGAGCUAGCUCCUCCUGGUAUUCCUUAAAUGGCAGCACAAACCACUCCUGGCAGAGAAAUUCUACCGUGUAGAUCAUGUCCUCCUGGAGCUCAGCGGAGGGAUUGUGAGCUGCUGGGUCCAUUGUCUGGUCGUAGUCUUCUGUCAUGUUUCGGCUGUGUAAAGGCAGGAGAAGGACCCAAACGCAAAACUCACCACGCAGGAAUUAAACUCAAAAGGCUGCUUUAUUACAGAAUGGCAUGAAAACCAUAACUAAACUAAACUAAACUAAACUAAACUAAACUAAACUAAACUAAACUGGGACAUGGCUAAACUGACACAUAGGAAAACACAGCCAUGAGGGAGACUACGACACUGACAAAGAGAAAAACACAGGGCUUAAAUACACAGAGGGAUAACGAGGGAAUUAGACACAGAAGGAGAGCACAGCUGGGGGGUAAUCAGGCUGGAAGAGACAAGGGAAGCAAAACUAGAAUCACUCACAUGAGACACGGACCUUCAAAGUAAAACAGGAAACACUGACUGAGCUCUAGACAUGCAAACUUAACAGCAACCGAGGAGACAGAACAUAGGGACCUGAAACAUGGGACAGAAAGGCACAGUAGACACAACAUGGACAUAACAACGCCACAGGGAAAGAGUAAAACAAAACAGAACCUCUUAGAAAAUAAAAUAGGAAACAUAAUGAAACGCAGACAUGACUACAUGAACCUGACAACAAAACAGACAUGAAACACAUGAAGGGCAAGGGAGAAUAAACAGGGGUUGGAAGACACAAGGGGAAUCUAAUAACAAAGAACUAUAACAACCUAGGCAUGAUGAAAAAUGAACUGAAAACCUAGAGGGCUUAAACAUAAACAUGAACAUGACCUAAAACUCCAAGACGCUGGGUCAAAAGACCCAGGAUCGUGACAUUGUGAGAGAUUAUUGUCACUCUCAGGUCACAUCAUUCAAAAGAAGCGUGCUUCUUUGUCAUCAGACAAUGUAAACAGUCUGCCUCAGUAACUGGCUGAGUGCAAAGAAGGACUAAGCCAGAUUGCUCCUUUGAAGUGAAAAAUGUUCAACAUUCUGGGUCUUUUUGUGUUUUAAAUACUGAGUAUUGUGCACCCUUUAUUGUUAUGGUAUUCACUUUAACCUUUAGGCCUGGGUUCGGUCACUUUUGAUGGCCUUAAAGGUUUUUUUGUGAGUUUUCACUGUGUUAAAGAUUGAUGAAAACUAUUAAAAUUCUCUUUGAAUUUCAGCAUACAUUCUUUGUGUUUAUUCUGCAUUUACUUCAUUGUAUUGCAUAAAUGUCUGUUACAAUCUUAAAAUAUAAAGUUGAAAAAAUGUAAUUGGAGCCAGUCUAUUGAUCAACUAAUUGCGAUUAAUCGUGAUUAAUAACAGAAAAUUGUGAGAUU